rnacentral:rRNA from 1 species
CCUACGGGUGGCUGCAGUGGGGAAUAUUGCGCAAUGGGCGAAAGCCUGACGCAGCGACGCCGCGUGAGGGAUGAAGGUCUUCGGAUCGUAAACCUCUGUCAGCAGGGAAGAACGGUCACUGUGCUAUUCAGCAGUGAAUUGACGGUACCUGCAAAGGAAGCACCGGCUAACUCCGUGCCAGCAGCCGCGGUAAUACGGAGGGUGCGAGCGUUAAUCGGAAUUACUGGGCGUAAAGCGCUCGUAGGCGGUAUGUCAAGUCACGGGUGAAAUCCCCGCCCUCAACGUGGGAACUGCCUUUGAAACUGGCAAACUGGAGUGUGUGAGAGGAUAGUGGAAUUCCAGGUGUAGGGGUGAAAUGCGUAGAUAUCUGGAGGAACAUCAGUGGCGAAGGCGACUGUCUGGCACAUAACUGACGCUGAGGAGCGAAAGCGUGGGUAGCAAACAGGAUUAGAUACCCCUGUAGUC